rnacentral:tmRNA from 1 species
GGGGAUGUAAAGGUUUCGACGGGGAAGGUGAACCGUGAUAAGCGAGCGGCGGUGCGGAACCGCCAUAAAAUCCGCAACUUAAAAAUAACUGACAAAAAUACAGUUGCUUUAGCUGCUUGAUGCAGCUCGUCUCUGCGCUGAGUACCUCGGCAGCGUAAGAGGCGUCGACAAGAGGUAAAGGUGAACAGGGAAGCGCUCCGAGCCCUGUCAUCACCCAGGAGCUACCGACCCGCGCAGCCUGUCCUUGGGCGUCGCGGCGGGGGAAUCCCAAAACAAUGACUGCGCUCGGAGAAGCUCACGGCAAACCCUCUUCGGACAGGGGUUCGACUCCCCUCAUCUCCACCA